rnacentral:rRNA from 1 species
UACGAAGGGGGCUAGCGUUGCUCGGAAUGACUGGGUGUAAAGGGCGUGUAGGCGGUUUUGCCAGUCAGAUGUGAAAUCCCCGGGCUUAACCUUGGAGCUGCAUUUGAGACGUUAAGACUAGAGUGUGAGAGAGGGUGGUGGAAUUACCAGUGUAGAGGUGAAAUUCGUAGAUAUUGGGAAGAACACCGGUGGCGAAGGCGGCAACCUGGCUCAUUACUGACGCUGAGGCGCGAAAGCGUGGGGAGCAAACAGG